UUUAAUAUGGCAGAUUAGUGUAAUGAAUUUAAGAUUCAUAAAUAAAAUAAUUUAUUUUUUAUUAAAA
rnacentral:tRNA from 1 species